CUCAGUGAAUAAUACCUUAUCUGGCAAUUGACCCACUCUACCCUUUUCUCUCUCCUUCUAUCCAUCUGUUAGUAUUCUCAGACAUUCACCCUCAGGUUGAAUUUGAGUCCCAUGCUUCUCCCUAGUCUUUUCCCUUCCUCCCUCUCCUCUCUUCCUUCCUCCCUCUCUUCCCUUCCUCCUCCCUCUGGCUGGCUGCCACUCCUCCCAGCGGAUCUGUGCCUGUGGUAGUGGUGUAUGUUGUCGGUUGAGGCCGGCCCCCUCUCUCUCCUCAGAUGGAGGAGUGAAGCUCACUGACACACAUACAGACGCAACAAGCCACAGGCAGGCACGCUACCAGACAGACCGGCAGACAGGUAAGCAGGAGGCAGGCACCAUGACGCAAACAGGGGACAGACUCAGCUCUGUGACAACAGAUGCCUCCCACAGAACUGAACACUGAAGUUUACUUUGAGAGCCUCAGUGGAGCUGGAAUAAGCAGAAAAUAAGACAAAUAACAAGACGGGAUGAGGAGUUCUUGACUGCUGUUUUUCAUGCUGAGGAGGAGGGGGUAUUUUACACACUUUUUCUGUAGUCGCUGAACCUGUGGAAUUACAUCUAUGAGUCAGGGGAGGACUAAAGCCAGCAUGGUAUUCAGCUGGCAGAAGUCCUUUGCCAUCCUGAACCCCUGGAGGAAAGGGAAGGGGGACAAUGUGCUGGAUAAUGAGGUCGUCUUGACCAAAAUGAAGCUCUUCAACAACUUCCAUGAGAAGCUCCUCAACAACGCUGUUGAUUCUUCAUCCACUAUCUCCAUGUCAGUAUCUGAGCAGGACAUCGCAGAGCCUGUCAAAGGCUUGAAGGGGAAUGCUGAUCUGGAUAACAUGCCUGGGAAGCCCCUGAUGGAGUCAAACUCAGGCUACCUCUCUGACAUUUUCUCAGACUCUCAGCUUCCCAUGCUGUACAAGUUUGAGUCGGAGGACUCUGGAGUGGAACUGCCCAGUGGAACCAACUCUCCCUCCACACCCACCGGCUCAGAGCAGAGCUUUGUGGUCCACAGCCGGGAACCGUCCUAUGACUCCUGUAACCUCAAUACUCCUGUCCCUACCCCAGGUCCACUCCUCACCAUUGAACAGUGCUCUGACACCAAACAAACAGAGGAUAUAAGAGACACACCAUGUACGACUGUAGACAAUGCUGUGCUGGAGUGUAAUACUGUGGAGUUGGGGGCUGAACUCAACACAGAGGUUGAGAGGGUAGACCUUCAUAUAACUGAGAAGGACAUAAAUAUGGAGAGGGCCCAACACAGGGCCUUGAAGGACACUGCUGAGGACAGUGACAGGGUUUCAGAGGAGCUGGGUGAGAACAGGGCUGUGACUGACGGGAUCAACUCAGAGAAGACAAGGUCCAAGAGCCAGUGCUCUACAGGGGCCUGUGAUGAUAUGACAGGAGUUAACUUUGAGCAGCGGCCUCUGAGGAAAAGCACGACGAGCGACAGCCUAGAGGAGUAUAUGGAGGAAUGCUGUAGACUGAGUGAGGUCCACCAGGCCAGCUCCAACCCCCUGGGCUCCGGACUGGGCUACCUGGAGCACAUCUGCCAGCUCAUUGAGAAGAUUGGGCAGCUCCAGGAACACAACCUCAGGCUGCAGAAGCAAAUCUGUGGGCUGCAAAAGGAUGGAAGGAUGACCAAGACCAAAGAGGACUUCUUCCUGCAGCACUGUAGCUGUGGAACGGCCGGCAUGGCCUUCCAUGAACAGAAAAGACACUCUAGGAGUGAGUUCCUGACCACCUCCGUGAGCGGCACCCUCUCUGACCUCUCCACCAUCCCUGAGGUCACACACCACACAGGACUCACAGCCAGGGGAGAGAGUGACCAGGGUGGAUGCCAGCCCCUGGUGCCCCUUUGGAAGAGGGGCCUGAAUCGGAUGAGCUACUCAGAGGGAGAUACGCGCUCCUAUCUCUCUGACAGUACAGAGGGUCUCUCUGCCCCACACAGACGGCUGAGUGAGAACUACACGUGGGGCAGAGUGAAGGAUCUGGUGAAGAAGACCAAGCUGAGGAACCAGAGCAGACUGGGACAAACAUCCACCUCCCUCAAGAGAUCCUGUCCACAGCUUUACCGGUGAGGACACUCCCCACCCAUCCAUCCCGCUCUCUCUUGCUCUCUUGCGAAGGAAACACUCAGUCUACUCGAAAUACUGUAUCUCUUACUACAGUAUCUGUAAACAAACACGCAACUAACACUAGGAUUACCUUUAACUUAAUACAAUUAAAAAUAACAGUUGGCGCUUGUUGCUCCUUCAAGGAUGUUUGAAAAUCUUGAGCUAAUCAUGCUACAAGGAAGGAGAGGUUAAGUUGUAAUUAAUCACAGCUCGCUUUAGUUUCAUAUUUUGUAGGUGCCUAUUACUUCUAGAUAAUUUAGUCUUAGCAGAAAGAGGAGUUAAGACUGUAUUUGGCAGUAGGUCAUGGGUUGUGUUUCCAGAAUGAUUCAACUGCUUCCUAGGAAGAAUAUAGACACUGAAAAUACUGAAAAUGCCCAACCGACUCAUAUCAUCUUACCAUUUAGAGAUAAUUACUUAAUUAAAUUACUUUUAUAUUGCUUUUUAAAAUGCAGUUAUAACACAUCACUUGUAAGUAGCGAUUUAACUAACCCUGUGACAAAUUAUCAGCCAAGCUAAAAUCAAAUGGAUUUUGAGAAUAAAAUGUACCACUAACCAGAAUAUAUUGUUACUCAACACAACUGUCAAAAGUAUGUGCCUUGACAAAUUAUCUUGAGUAAUAACCACGGCUUUAAUAUUUUAUUUUACAACAUUCAGCAUACGCCAUGGAGAACUUAGCCCACAACCACUGGAAUCUAUCUUAAAUAGCGUCCCGAAAAUGUCAAAAUGAAGCAAAAAAACGGACUUGUACACAAAGCAGAUGCACUCUUCAGUGUCAGGGAGCGACUACGCACCGUUUAUUUCAAUAUGACUGAGGCAAAUAUGAUAAGCUUAAGUGUUUUUAUCUGAGUACAAGCUUGUAAAAUUAUACUUCCCAAGUUCACUGGCUCUCUCCACUGGUGGUAAAUGGUGACUAGCACUGCUGGGUUUAAAUGGCCUAAGCUCAAAACCACUGAAAACAAACCAACCUCCCUCAUUUGUUAAACAAAACACAAUUGGCCCCCUCUAACAGUAUGUCAGCUUUGCAAGCAGGAAUCUACGCCAACAUAUUUGGAGUAGACAAAAAGACGUGGAUAUUUUGGGUUAGAAAGUAUUGACAGCCUUAGCGACUUUAGACGAAUACCAAACUAUGACAGGUUCUUGGCACUUCAAGAUUUUAUUUUAUUUUGUUCAUGCGAGAUGGGUGUGUCAGUGGAAGAAUUGUGGUAUUAUUCUGUUUGAGGGUUGUAGAACAUAAGGAUCUGGUGGGAGUUGAAGAGCUUGAGGAAAGAACAGCUAUUUGUUGUGCCCUUCAACGUAUUCCACAACUUGGAUGAGCACUCCUCAGAGUGAGGGAGCUGGGCACGGACCCAGACUAAUAGCGGAGGGGUUGCCGUGUCUGGUUUGAGGUAUGCAAGGAGGAGUUGGAGAAUUCCACAUGUAUUUCAGAGUGGUCCAAUGAUAUAUAGAGAUAUGCAGAAUUUAUCAAAAGGGAGACCCUCUCUUGGAAAGAAAUGCAUGUGGAAAAACCAUCCUGUUCUCAAGCGUUGUGCAAACUAAUGCAUUGCUCAUUGUAAUAGCAUUGGAGCACACCAAUAACAAUAACCCAUUUCCUUACAGCCCUGACCUGGGACCAGUGGACCUACCAGGAAGAAACAGGAACUCCAUGAUCGCCUUGGGCCAUCAGAACAAACUGGACUUCCAGUGGCCCAGAUAACCAUUGUUGGUACAGAAAGUUCUGACGCAAAAUAUUGCUAAUGCGUAGUGAAACAUGUUGGAAGCAUGCUGUGCAUGUACAAGCACAACUGAUUUAGCAGCUGUCGUGCGAUCUAUUCUCAGCGUACAUGUGUAAUAAAGAUAUCCAUAGAGGUGAAGAGGCAACACUUUUGUAACACUGCCCACACUGAACGUCUUUGUUUUCUACCCAGAUAUGAAACAGACGGCCCGAAGUGGGAAGAGAAUGCCCUGAAGAGGAUAAGGUGAAGUUGCACAGAUUCUCGACUGGACUGAGAGAGUAGUGUGAAAGGAGGGAUGUGAGAAAUAACACUUGUGAUGGAUGACAAAACUUUGAGUGAGGAGUGAAAAGAAAACAAAAAGAGGGAUGGUCAUAGACAUCUCUCUUGAGAUACAAUUCUAAACUAAGGGAUUGUAUUGUUUCAGAUAAGGGAACAUUGGUAUUUAUAUGAGAACAGACAUGCAUGUACUCCACAAUGUACAUGAAUACGAUACAAAUGAUUUCAUCUUGUACUAUAAUCGUUUUUCUUUUCAAUUCAUAUUGUAAUGCUUUCUCUAAAUAUGUGUUAUGUUAGUGACAUUUCAGUACUAUGUGUUGAUGGAGGAAACAACAACUCUUUGACAUGGUUGUUCCAACUAAGAAAUAGCCUAGACAAUAUUCUGGGGUGAAAUUAAAGGGGUAGUUCACGCAAAUUACAAAAUGACAUUGCUUUCCUUACACUGUAAGCCGUCUAUGGACAAGCUAUGGCAGCAAUGCAUCCUUUGGUUUAGUUUCCCUGCCACUGUUUCAACAUGCUAGCAUUUUAGCAUUUGUGGCACAAAUCCCAUUCAAGUCAUGGGACCGAUAUUAUUCGCGCACCAUGCCCAAAUCAAUACAUGAUUUAAAUUCUAGAUAAGAGCGUCUUCUAAAUGACUAAAAUGAAAAUGUAAAUGUAAAAAUAAUUCGAAAGUAUCUAAAGUCGCUUGUCACACUCAACAAAGUCACAUAGAUUAUUUGAACAUGAUGCUUGAAAAAGACAAAUUUCGGUCCCAUGACAGGGUAAGGAAACCAAUAUGUAAUUUUGUGUUUGGGUGAACUAUCGCUUUGGUUAUCAUGCCCCCUUGAAUAAAUGUGAAACAUACACAUAUCAUACAUAUUUGAGGAUUGUACUUAACUAUUCAACACAUUUUGUAUGAAUUCUCUUCUUGUUUUGAGUGUAGGCCUAAGAGGCUGUGUGUGCAUGCACUAUACAGGGAUAAUAGAUCGUGGUGAUGUUGUGUGAAUGUGCUGUAUAUAACAAAAGUUAAUUGUGUACAGUCACUGUGUAUGUACAGGAGGGGAGUUAUGCCUCUGUAAAUUCCUAUGUUUAUAUGAUGGAAAUGUAUACUUUUUUGGAGAUAGGGGUUCCAGAUCCCUUAUGAUAAAACACUUUGAGGAUGCUAGAAAACGUUUGUGAUGCAUUGCCGCAAGGUUUUUUAAUGUUCCUCUCAAACAUUUAUGUAAAAAAAAAAAAAACUGUAAAGAAAAAAAACAAUAAUUUUGUUUAACUGCAACAUGUACAGUAUUUUAUCAGAGGCUGCUGUUGCACAUGCUCAUCUUCAAGACAUUUUUUUUUAUUUAUUGUGACAUGCAAGUCUGGUUUGACAAGCUAACAGUGAUUUUAGCUUUUCUACAUCACGGUUACAUUCCCUGGUUUUCCAGAAAUCCUGGUUGGAAUAUUCCCGUAUUUCCUGCUUUUCCCUCGUAAUGCCAUGAAUCUUCCCAACAGGCUUCCUUGAAAAAAUGUGAAUUUUGGGAAAGCUACUGGAAUUUUGCAACCUUAGUUACAUCACUAUGAGCUUCCUUUGAUAACAGACAGGCAAGUGCCAUGGUACCUUGGAAAUCUCACUGGGUAACUACAGAAGGAAAGUUCAACACAAAAACGUUGAAAAGGAUGACUAAAAUAGCUUCAAAGCCUUGACAUCUAAUUGAAAUACAGCAGAAGUAAAUUCCAAAUGCUCAAAACUGCCCAGCGUUGUUUACAACAGGAAUGGAGGUCAUCAAAUGUUUUGAAAAUACUAAUCCCACAGUAAGAACAAAACAGUUAGUUAUCCAGUAUGUACUUCAGCAAUGUGAACAACAGUAUAGUACAACACCAAUGAGUUAUUCAUCAUGGUCAACAUGUACUCCUAUUAAAAUAAUAAUGUACUCUGUAGUUCUGUACAUGUAGCACAGCUGUAGCUGUAUAAUACGGAAUUCAUGUACUUCUAAAUACUCUAAUCAAGUAGAAAAUAAAUCUGUUGCAACUUGAGAUGCAGUAAAUGCUGUCAAUAUGCAUGAUAGGCCUACAUGUUUUGUCAGGACUGGGAUCUAAAGACUAAAGAUUGUGAUAUCUGUAUAUUGUAGAGUCACAGUAAGUUGUACAUGGAUGGAAUAUCUCAAUAUGCGUAAUGUAUCAUUAUUCAAAGUUAUUUUUCGAAAUAAAGUUGACAUUUUCAAUGACAUGAAAUGCUGUGCUUUUAGUAAUUUUAUACCACUCACCGAGUCCUGCAGGAUAUAAAGCAAAU
rnacentral:lncRNA from 13 species